rnacentral:rRNA from 1 species
GGACUACUGGGGUAUCUAAUCCUGUUUGAUCCCCACGCUUUCGAGCCUCAGCGUCAAUAUAUGUGUAGUAAGCUGCCUUCGCAAUGGGUAUUCUAUGUCAUAUCUAAGCAUUUCACCGCUACAUGACAUAUUCUGCUUACCUCCGCAAUAUUCAAGACAAAUAGUAUCAAUGGCAGUUUUUGAGUUAAGCCCAAAGAUUUCACCACUGACUUACCUGUCCGCCUACGCUCCCUUUAAACCCAGUGAAUCCGGAUAACGCUUGCACCCUCCGUAUUACCGCGGCUGCUGGCAC